rnacentral:rRNA from 1 species
GACGAACGCUGGCGGCGUGCUUAACACAUGCAAGUCGAACGGAAAGGCCCUGCUUGCAGGGUACUCGAGUGGCGAACGGGUGAGUAACACGUGGGUGAUCUGCCCUGCACUUCGGGAUAAGCCUGGGAAACUGGGUCUAAUACCGGAUAGGAGCCAUUUUUAGUGUGAUGGUUGGAAAGUUUUUUCGGUGUAGGAUGAGCUCGCGGCCUAUCAGCUUGUUGGUGGGGUAAUGGCCUACCAAGGCGGCGACGGGUAGCCGGCCUGAGAGGGUGGACGGCCACAUUGGGACUGAGAUACGGCCCAGACUCCUACGGGAGGCAGCAGUGGGGAAUAUUGCACAAUGGGCGCAAGCCGGAUGCAGCGACGCCGCGUGGGGGAUGACGGACUUCGGGUUGUAAACUCCGUUCGCUAGGGACGAAGCUUUUUGUGACGGUACCUAGAUAAGAAGCACCGGCUAACUACGUG